rnacentral:rRNA from 1 species
UGCUCCACCGAAAGAAAAGGAGUGGCGAACGGGUGAGUAACACGUGGGUAACCUGCCCAUCAGAAGGGGAUAACACUUGGAAACAGGUGCUAAUACCGUAUAACAAUCGAAACCGCAUGGUUUUGAUUUGAAAGGCGCUUUCGGGUGUCGCUGAUGGAUGGACCCGCGGUGCAUUAGCUAGUUGGUGAGGUAACGGCUCACCAAGGCCACGAUGCAUAGCCGACCUGAGAGGGUGAUCGGCCACAUUGGGACUGAGACACGGCCCAAACUCCUACGGGAGGCAGCAGUAGGGAAUCUUCGGCAAUGGACGAAAGUCUGACCGAGCAACGCCGCGUGAGUGAAGAAGGUUUUCGGAUCGUAAAACUCUGUUGUUAGAGAAGAACAAGGAUGAGAGUAACUGUUCAUCCCUUGACGGUAUCUAACCAGAAAGCCACGGCUAACUACGUGCCAGCAGCCGCGGUAAUACGUAGGUGGCAAGCGUUGUCCGGAUUUAUUGGGCGUAAAGCGAGCGCAGGCGGUUUCUUAAGUCUGAUGUGAAAGCCCCCGGCUCAACCGGGGAGGGUCAUUGGAAACUGGGAGACUUGAGUGCAGAAGAGGAGAGUGGAAUUCCAUGUGUAGCGGUGAAAUGCGUAGAUAUAUGGAGGAACACCAGUGGCGAAGGCGACUCUCUGGUCUGUAACUGACGCUGAGGCUCGAAAGCGUGGGGAGCAAACAGGAUUAGAUACCCUGGUAGUCCACGCCGUAAACGAUGAGUGCUAAGUGUUGGAGGGUUUCCGCCCUUCAGUGCUGCAGCUAACGCAUUAAGCACUCCGCCUGGGGAGUACGACCGCAAGGUUGAAACUCAAAGGAAUUGACGGGGGCCCGCACAAGCGGUGGAGCAUGUGGUUUAAUUCGAAGCAACGCGAAGAACCUUACCAGGUCUUGACAUCCUUUGACCACUCUAGAGAUAGAGCUUCCCCUUCGGGGGCAAAGUGACAGGUGGUGCAUGGUUGUCGUCAGCUCGUGUCGUGAGAUGUUGGGUUAAGUCCCGCAACGAGCGCAACCCUUAUUGUUAGUUGCCAUCAUUUAGUUGGGCACUCUAGCAAGACUGCCGGUGACAAACCGGAGGAAGGUGGGGAUGACGUCAAAUCAUCAUGCCCCUUAUGACCUGGGCUACACACGUGCUACAAUGGGAAGUACAACGAGUCGCGAAGUCGCGAGGCUAAGCUAAUCUCUUAAAGCUUCUCUCAGUUCGGAUUGUAGGCUGCAACUCGCCUACAUGAAGCCGGAAUCGCUAGUAAUCGCGGAUCAGCACGCCGCGGUGAAUACGUUCCCGGGCCUUGUACACACCGCCCGUCACACCACGAAAGUUUGUAACACCCGAAGUCGG